rnacentral:rRNA from 1 species
AGUUUGAUCCUGGCUCAGGACGAACGCUGGCGGCGAGCCUAAAACAUGCAAGUCGAACGGGGUCCAACCGGUGGCAACACCGGUGAAGACCUAGUGGCGAACGGGUGAGUAAAACGUGAGAAACCUGCCCCGAAGACCGGGAUAACCCAAGGAAACUUGGACUAAUACCGGAUACCCUCACGAGACCGCAUGGUCAUGUGAGGAAAUGGAUUUCCGCUUCGGGAGGGUCUCGCGGCCCAUCAGCUAGUUGGCGAGGUAACGGCUCACCAAGGCGACGACGGGUAGCUGGUCUGAGAGGACGAUCAGCCACACUGGGACUGAGACACGGCCCAGACUCCUACGGGAGGUUUUUUUUUUGGAAUCUUGCGCAAUGGGCGAAAGCUUUUUUUUUUUAACGCCGCGUGCCCCCCCCAAGGCCUUCGGGUUGUAAACCGCUUUCAGUGGGGACGAAAUUGACGGUACCCACAGAAGAAGCUCCGGCUAACUACGUGCCAGCAGCCGCGGUAACACGUAGGGGGCAAGCGUUGUCCGGAUUUAUUGGGCGUAAAGAGCUCGUAGGCGGUUCGGUAAGUCGGGUGUGAAAACUCAGGGCUCAACCCUGAGACGCCACUCGAUACUGCUGUGACUAGAGUCCGGUAGGGGAGCAUGGAAUUCCUGGUGUAGCGGUGAAAUGCGCAGAUAUCAGGAGGAACACCAGUGGCGAAGGCGGUGCUCUGGGCCGGAACUGACGCUGAGGAGCGAAAGCGUGGGUAGCAAACAGGAUUAGAUACCCUGGUAGUCCACGCCGUAAACG